GGUUUGAUUAUGGCUCAGAUUGAACGCUGGCGUGAUGCUUUACACACAUGCAAGUCGAACGGCAGCACGAUUUCGGUCCAUAUGUAUGAGGUAGCAGAACGCGAGUAAUGCAUCGGAAUGCUCAUAGUGUAGAUAACGAUGCUAUGCCAUUAAUAUCGCAUACGCCUUCGGUGGAAAGUAAUCUUCAGCCCGCAACUAUUAGAUGUCAGAUACUUCGGAUUGAAGAAGUUGGUAAAGGUAUCAUCAACACAAAACAUGUUAUCCAAAUAGUCGAGAUAUUAACUUGUUACAUCAACGAUACGCUCAGACUCCUUACGGGAUGGCAGUGUGGGGAACUUUAUCAGUUUAAACUUCUGAUCCGUUUUGCAUCUGCGCAAAGAUGAAGGCCUUCAAGAAGCACUUUAGCAGAAGAAUGGCACGGAUAAUACCCAAAAACUCGACGGUACCUGUAGCUGGCACCACAUCGACGUCACAGCAUCGGCAGAAUGCUAGUAAUGCCAGACCUAAUUACUGAGCUGGGCACGCGCAUAUGGUCUGAAAGAAAGGGAUGUAGAACCCGAGACUUAACUUUGAACUGCAUUUUUAACUACCGAGCUAGAGUGUGUCAGAGGGAGGUGGAAUUCCGCGUAGCAGUGAAUGCGUAGAUAUGGAGGAACACCGAUGGCGAAGGCAGCCUCCUGGGGAUAACACUGACGCUCAUGCACGAAAGCGUGGGGAGCAAACAGAUUUAGAUACUCCCGGUAGUCCACGCCCUAAACGAUGUCAACUAGCUGUUGGGGCCUUCGGGCCUUGGUAGCGCAGCUAACGCGUGAAGUUGACCGCCUGGGGAGUACGGUCGCAAGAUUAAAACUCAAAGGAAUUGACGGGGACCUGCACAAGCGGUGGAUGAUGUGAUUUUUCAAUUCGAUGCAACGCGAAAACCCUUACUCAAUUCUUGACAUGUCUGGAAUCCCGAAGAGAUUUGGGAGUGCUCGCAAGAGAACCGGAACACAGGUGCUGCAUGGCUGUCGUCAGUGCCCGCGUCGUGAGAUGCUGGGUUAAGUCCCGCAACGAGCGCAACCUUGUCAUUAGUUGCUACGAAAGGGCACUCUAAUGAGACUGCCGGUGACAAACUGGAGGAAGGUGGGGAUGACGUCAAGUCCUCAUGGCUCCUAUGGGUAGGGCUUCACACGUCAUACAAUGGUCGGGACAGAGGGUCGCCAACCCGCGAGGGGGAGCCAAUCCCAGAAACCCGAUCGUAGUCCGGAUCGCAGUCUGCAACUCGACUGCGUGAAGUCGGAAUCGCUAGUAAUCGCGGAUCAGCACGCCGCGGUGAAUACGUUCCCGGGCCUUGUACACACCGCCCGUCACACCAUGGGAGUUGGUUUUACCUAAGCAGGUGCGCUAACCCGCAAGGGAGGUAGCUUGCCACGGUAGGAUCAGUGACUGGGGUGAAGUCGUAACAAAGGUAG
rnacentral:rRNA from 1 species